rnacentral:rRNA from 1 species
AUUGAACGCUGGCGGCAGGCCUAACACAUGCAAGUCGGGCGAGCGGAGGACGGGUGAGUAAUUUAUUGGGAUCUGCCUGAUGGAGGGGGAUAACUACUGGAAACGGUAGCUCAUACCGCAUACCAUCAGAUGAAGCCAUAUGGGAUUAGCUGGUAGGUAAGGUAACGGCUUACCUAGGCGACGAUCCCUAGCCGGUCUGAGAGGAUGAUCAGCCACACUGGGACUGAGACACGGCCCAGACGCCGACGGGAGGCAGCAGUGGGGAAUAUUGCACAAUGGGCGCAAGCCUGAUGCAGCCAUGCCGCGUGUAUGAAGAAGGCCUUCGGGUUGUAAAGUACUUUCAGUCGGGAGGCGUUACCGACAGAAGAAGCACCGGCUAACUCCGUGCCAGCAGCCGCGGUAAUUC